rnacentral:rRNA from 1 species
AGAACGAACGCUGGCGGCGUGGCUAAGACAUGCAAGUCGAACGGAGUUUCCUGAAGGGCAACUGGAUGGAAACUCAGUGGCGAACGGGUGCGUAACACGUGAGCAAUCUACCUCCAAGUGGGGAAUAGCUCGGCGAAAGCCGGAUUAAUACCGCAUACGGUCUUCCUUCGCAUGAAGGGGCAACCAAAGCCGGGGUCGCAAGACCUGGCGCUAGGAGAGGAGCUCGCGGCCUAUCAGCUAGUUGGCGGGGUAACGGCCCACCAAGGCUAAGACGGGUAGCUGGUCUGAGAGGAUGAUCAGCCACACUGGAACUGAGACACGGUCCAGACACCGUACGGGUGCAGCAGUUUCG